rnacentral:rRNA from 1 species
UACAGAGGGGGCAAGCGUUGUUCGGAAUUACUGGGCGUAAAGGGCGCGUCGGCGGCCUGUUAAGUCGAACGUGAAAUCCCCGGGCUCAACCCGGGAACUGCGUCCGAUACUGGCAGGCUUGAAUUCGGGAGAGGGAUGCGGAAUUCCAGGUGUAGCGGUGAAAUGCGUAGAUAUCGAGAGGAACACCUGCGGCGAAGGCGGGUUGCUGGGCUGACACUGACGCUGAGGCGCGAAAGCUAGGGGAGCGAACGGG